CCCUUCGGGGUGGAUUAGUGGCGAACGGGUGAGUAACACGUGAGCAACCUGCCCUUGACUCUGGGAUAAGCCUGGGAAGCUGGGUCUAAUACCGGAUAGUACCUCCUGCCGCAUGGUGGGGGGUGGAAAGCCUUGUGCGGUCUUGGAUGGGCUCGCGGCCUAUCAGCUUGUUGGUGGGGUGAUGGCCUACCAAGGCGACGACGGGUAGCCGGCCUGAGAGGGUGACCGGCCACACUGGGACUGAGACACGGCCCAGACUCCUACGGGAGGCAGCAGUGGGGAAUAUUGCACAAUGGGCGCAAGCCUGAUGCAGCGACGCCGCGUGGGGGAUGACGGCCUUCGGGUUGUAAACCCCUUUCGGCAGGGGACAAGCCGUUUCGGCGGUGAGGGUACCUGCGGAAGAAGCGCCGGCUAACUACGUGCCAGCAGCCGCGGUAAUACGUAGGGCGCGAGCGUUAUCCGGAAUUAUUGGGCGUAAAGAGCUCGUAGGCGGUUUGUCGCGUCUGCUGUGAAAGCCCGGGGCUCAACCCCGGGUCUGCAGUGGGUACGGGCAGGC
rnacentral:rRNA from 2 species